UCAUAAAUCUUAGCUGCGAAAAAUUAAUUGGCGAAAAUAACUACGCUCUCGCUGCUUGAUCGAAGAACAGUAGAUCGUUGCUUAAUUCGUCCACAAGGUGGAUGAACGGGACAUCUCGCGGAUGGACUUUCCUGAUUCCGGUCCGGGAACGAGGUGCUCAUCAAUUUCAGGAUAGCGAUGCGGAGGCUCCGGCCGCAUAGUGAAAUUUAGGAGAUAAGGUUGAGUUUAGGAUGUCUGUUUCCUUGCUCAGCUCGACAAUCAACAGCAGAAUAAGCAUGUAGAAAGCAUGGGUGUUCCUUGUUUGGACGAGGGUUCGACUCCCUCCAGCUCCACGG
rnacentral:tmRNA from 1 species